rnacentral:rRNA from 1 species
UACGAAGGGGGCUAGCGUUGUUCGGAAUUACUGGGCGUAAAGGGCGCGUAGGCGGCCUGCUAAGUCGGACGUGAAAUCCCUCGGCUCAACCGAGGAACUGCGUCCGAUACUGGUGGGCUUGAAUCCGGGAGAGGGAUGUGGAAUUCCCGGUGUAGCAGUGAAAUGCGUAGAUAUCGGGAGGAAUACCGAUGGCGAAGGCAGGUCUCUGGGCUAUAACUGACGCUCAUGCACGAAAGCGUGGGGAGCAAACAGG